UUAGGAAUCUUGGACAAUGGGCGCAAGCCUGAUCCAGCCAUGCCGCGUGAGUGAUGAAGGCCCUAGGGUUGUAAAGCUCUUUCAGCGGGGAAGAUAAUGACGGUACCCGCAGAAGAAGCCCCGGCUAACUUCGUGCCAGCAGCCGCGGUAAUACGAAGGGGGCUAGCGUUGCUCGGAAUCACUGGGCGUAAAGCGCACGUAGGCGGAUUGUUAAGUCAGGGGUGAAAUCCUGGAGCUCAACUCCAGAACUGCCUUUGAUACUGGCGAUCUUGAGUCCGGGAGAGGUGAGUGGAACUCCGAGUGUAGAGGUGAAAUUCGUAGAUAUUCGGAAGAACACCAGUGGCGAAGGCGGCUCACUGGCCCGGUACUGACGCUGAGGUGCGAAAGCGUGGGGAGCAAACAG
rnacentral:rRNA from 1 species